GAUGAAGAACGUAGCGAAAUGCGAUAAGUAAUGUGAAUUGCAGAAUUCAGUGAAUCAUCGAAUCUUUGAACGCACCUUGCGCCCUUUGGCCAUUCCGAAGGGCAUGCCUGUUUGAGUAUCAUGAACACCUCAACUCUUUAUGGUUUUCCAUGAUGAGCUUGGACUCUGGGGGUUUUGCUGGCUCACUGUCGGCUCCUCUAAAAUGAAUCAGCUUACCAGUGUUUGGUGGGUAUCAUGGGUGUGAUAACUAUCUACGCUUGUGGUUUUUCCACCAGGUAACCUUCAGCAGUGGAGGUUCGCUGGAGCUCAUAGAUGUCUCUCCUCAGUGAGGACAGCCCUUUGAAUGUUUGAUCUCAAAUCAGGUAGGACUACCCGCUGAACUUAAGCAUAUCAAUAAGCGGAGGA
rnacentral:misc_RNA from 1 species